GCCACGGUGGUCUAGCGGUUAGAACGCUGGCCUUGUAAUCCUGGGGUCUCGGGUUCGAUUCCAGGCGGUGCCC
rfam:Zootermopsis nevadensis contig5843, whole genome shotgun sequence.